UACUUGGAGGACUAGUGGUUAGGCCUUAGCGCUCUCACCGCUGCCGCCUAGGUUUGAUUCCUGGCCAGGGAA
rnacentral:tRNA from 1 species